AAUCAUUAGUCUUUUAAUUGAGGGCUGGAAUGAAUGGUUUGACGAAAUAUUAACUGUCUCUUCAUAAUAAGUAGAAUUUAACUUUUGAGUCAAAAGGCUUAGAUAAUUAUAAAAGACGAGAAGACCCUAUAGAUCUUUAUAUAUAAAUGUAUUUAUUUUGUUUAGAUUAGGUUUUAAUAAUUAUGUGAUUGUAUUUUGUUGGGGUGACGUGAAGAUAAAAAUAACUCUUCAUUAUUGGUACAUUGAUUUAUGAAUAAUUGAUCCGUUAUUAACGAUUAUAAGAAAAAGUUACCUUAGGGAUAACAGCGUAAUUUUUUUUGAGAGUUCAUAUCGACAAGAAAGAUUGCGACCUCGA
rnacentral:rRNA from 1 species